UACGGGGGGAGCAAGCGUUGCUCGGAAUCACUGGGCGUAAAGCGCACGUAGGCGGAUCUUUAAGUCAGAGGUGAAAUCCCAAGGCUCAACCUUGGAACUGCCUUUGAUACUGGGGAUCUCGAGUCCGGAAGAGGUGAGUGGAACUGCGAGUGUAGAGGUGAAAUUCGUAGAUAUUCGCAAGAACACCAGUGGCGAAGGCGGCUCACUGGUCCGGUACUGACGCUGAGGUGCGAAAGCGUGGGGAGCAAACAGG
rnacentral:rRNA from 1 species